rnacentral:rRNA from 1 species
UAUGCACGCUGGCGGCGUGCCUAAUACAUGCAAGUCGAGCGAACGGACGAGAAGCUUGCUUCUCUGAUGUUAGCGGCGGACGGGUGAGUAACACGUGGAUAACCUACCUAUAAGACUGGGAUAACUUCGGGAAACCGGAGCUAAUACCGGAUAAUAUUUUGAACCGCAUGGUUCAAAAGUGAAAGACGGUCUUGCUGUCACUUAUAGAUGGAUCCGCGCUGCAUUAGCUAGUUGGUAAGGUAACGGCUUACCAAGGCAACGAUGCAUAGCCGACCUGAGAGGGUGAUCGGCCACACUGGAACUGAGACACGGUCCAGACUCCUACGGGAGGCAGCAGUAGGGAAUCUUCCGCAAUGGGCGAAAGCCUGACGGAGCAACGCCGCGUGAGUGAUGAAGGUCUUCGGCUCGUAAAACUCUGUUAUUAGGGAAGAACAUAUGUGUAAGUAACUGUGCACAUCUUGACGGUACCUAAUCAGAAAGCCACGGCUAACUACGUG